rnacentral:snRNA from 1 species
AAACUUUACUGGCAUCGGGUUCAGGGUGAUUAGCAAUGCUCUGACCCCAGGUGGAGGUUUGCCAUUGCAUUCUGGCAUGUUGAAGCCUGCGACGGACUCUAAUCGGGUUCGCUCGGGUGUGUCGUUUUUGCCACUGGGGAGCCCUUAGGCCUCCUCU